GAUGAACGCUGGCGGCGUGCCUAAUACAUGCAAGUCGAGCGAACAGACGAGGAGCUUGCUCCUCUGACGUUAGCGGCGGACGGGUGAGUAACACGUGGAUAACCUACCUAUAAGACUGGGAUAACUUCGGGAAACCGGAGCUAAUACCGGAUAAUAUAUUGAACCGCAUGGUUCAAUAGUGAAAGACGGUUUUGCUGUCACUUAUAGAUGGAUCCGCGCCGCAUUAGCUAGUUGUAAAGGUAACGGCUUACCAAGGCAACGAUGCGUAGCCAACCGGAGAGAGUGAUCGGCCACACUGGAGCUGAGACACGGUCCAGACUCCUACGAGAGGCAGCAGUAGGGAAUCUUCCGCAAUGGGCGAAAGCUUGACGGAGCAACGCCGCGUGAGUGAUGAAGGUCUUCGGAUCGUAAAACUCUGUUAUUAGGGAAGAACAAAUGUGUAAGUAACGAUGCACGUCUUGACGGUACCGAAUCAGAAAGCCACGGCUAACUACGU
rnacentral:rRNA from 1 species